AAAACCAUAGGGGGAAACACCAGUAAUUAGACAGAACAGAAUACAAUUGCUUUUUUAAAAGUUAUUUUGAUCCCUGGUGGUCAAAUGAAAAACAUGAUCAUGGGAGGCCAUGGAAGGUGAGCCGUCGAUAUUCCGAAGGGAAGCCGGGAUCCGUCCAAGGGCGUUCGAGAUAAAAGUACCAUGGCUACUGUGACGUAUCCUGACUAAUGCCGACAGCACAGGGAGCCUUUGCCUGCCGGAGGAAGCGGUGAGGAAGAGGUGGUGCGUCGUGCACUUCCUGUUGCUGUUUUAGGACAGCUUGGACGUAGUUUGUUCCAGGGAAGUGCUGCUGAACCAGGUAAACCCAGCCCCCCAUCUCCAGGAGCAGAGGCUGCAAGGACAGGAAGACAAUGAGGCAAUGGUGUGCUGGGGGAAUCGUGCUAAAGUGAAAGCAUCCUUCGAUCAUUUUUAAGUCAUUCUAGGAUCUUCAGGGCAUCAAAGUUUUGCCUGUGAGCCUCAAUUGGUCUAAUACAAAAAUACAGACUGUGGUUAAUCAUCUGAGCUUUGAGAUCAUGUGAGAUUGUAAUCCUGCCUUGGUUCUGCCACUUACUGCUGGUGAAGGAAAAAUUAAUCUUUCCAAACAGCUUGCAAGACAGAAAUCAUGCUUUCUACCUCCCAAAGCUGCUGUGGGCAUGAAACAGCCCACGUGCAUGAGGUGCCCAGCAUAGCGCCUGGAAAUCACACACAAUCACAGAAUCAUGGGGCCAGAGGAGGCCCUUGAAGUUUUAUCUGAUUUACUCCUCCCAUGAGAUGCUUUAAUUCUCCAACUUCUCCUCAAUGGCACCUAUAAAGAAAUGGGUUCUCCCUCUGU
rnacentral:lncRNA from 1 species